rnacentral:rRNA from 1 species
AACGAACGCUGGCGGCAUGCCUAACGCAUGCAAGUCGAACGAAGCCUUCGGGCUUAGUGGCGCACGGGUGCGUAACGCGUGGGAAUCUGCCCUUGGGUGCGGAAUAACUUCUCGAAAGGGAUGCUAAUACCGCAUAAUGUCGUAAGACCAAAGAUUUAUCGCCCAAGGAUGAGCCCGCGUAAGAUUAGCUAGUUGGUGGGGUAAAAGCCUACCAAGGCGACGAUCUUUAGCUGGUCUGAGAGGAUGAUCAGCCACACUGGGACUGAGACACGGCCCAGACUCCUACGGGAGGCAGCAGUGGGGAAUAUUGGACAAUGGGCGAAAGCCUGAUCCAGCAAUGCCGCGUGAGUGAUGAAGGCCCUAGGGUUGUAAGCUCUUUUACCAGGGAUGAUAAUGACAGUACCUGGAGAAUAAGCUCCGGCUAACUCCGUGCCAGCAGCCGCGGUAAU